CGGCCGCGUCGACGUGAGUAACACGUGGGUAACCUGCCCUUAAGUGGGGGAUAACAUUUGGAAACAGAUGCUAAUACCGCAUAAAUCCAAGAACCGCAUGGUUCUUGGCUGAAAGAUGGCGUAAGCUAUCGCUUUUGGAUGGACCCGCGGCGUAUUAGCUAGUUGGUGAGGUAACGGCUCACCAAGGCAAUGAUACGUAGCCGAACUGAGAGGUUGAUCGGCCACAUUGGGACUGAGACACGGCCCAAACUCCUACGGGAGGCAGCAGUAGGGAAUCUUCCACAAUGGACGCAAGUCUGAUGGAGCAACGCCGCGUGAGUGAAGAAGGCUUUCGGGUCGUAAAACUCUGUUGUUGGAGAAGAAUGGUCGGCAGAGUAACUGAUGUCGGCGUGACGGUAUCCAACCAGAAAGCCACGGCUAACUACGUGCCAGCAGCCGCGGUAAUACGUAGGUGGCAAGCGUUAUCCGGAUUUAUGGGCGUAAAGCGAGCGCAGGCGGGAUGUUAAGUCAGCU
rnacentral:rRNA from 1 species